UAUUACGCAGAUUGACUGUUGACAAUAUAUUGAUUGAUACAUUUUUUUAUAUUUUAACCACUGUUUUUGUUCACAAUCAUCUAAAUUUACAUUGGAUACAUCUUUUACUGUCACCAAGUGAUGUUUACCGAAUCCUCGCUUUAUUUCUUCCUGGUUGUCUCUUAACCCAAACUCAACCACAGCUUUAACUCAUGACUGUCAUUUUGUUUCCAACCUUCUGGUCAUUAAUCCUGUCUACUAGGAUACUGUGAAUUCACCUGAAUCAACAAGUUGAUUUACUAAAGCAAAAACUACUAUCCAAAUCCAACCGUUAGACGUUUUUAAUUCAAAGCUGACACAUUAUCAAAUUGGUUACAAAGUGAGUUUUUCUUCAUCAGAUACUUUUCCUUUUACAACAUCAUCAUCUGUAUCAGAUGUUAUUUUGAUUGCAACUUUCAUUGUCUUAAAAGUUGACCUAUUGGCCUAAUCAUCCUCUUGUUAUUGUUUUUUUGGCGAUUGGCUAAUUUUUUGUUCAAUUGAACCUUGAUUGGAGCCAAAACCUGAUGAACCGAUUAUUGAAUAUUCCGAGUUGAUUCACAUAAAUUGAAAAUUUAACCUGCAACCAAUAUCUUUGCCUUAGUCAAUGUAAUUUGGCUUGAAGCAAAGUAAUGGCAAGUUAUGAUUGAUAUGGAGUUGUUUCUUGAAAAUUAUUUGUAUUACUUGGUAAGAUAAAGUGUAUUAUGAUGAAUGAUUUGCUGUCUUCACUGAUAAUAACGUUAUUAGCAUUAUUAUAGUUGUUUAAUUAGAAUCAAAUAGCAUUAAGAAUCUAAUUAAUUUGUGAAGGGAAAAAGUCAAUAAUAGAUUACAAUGCUUAACAAGUAGACAACAAAUUAUUGAAAACGUUGUUGCUGUUGUUGGUGUCUUGUUUUGCUGUUACUUGUCUCAUGUGCAUUCAUGUAAUAAUUGAAAUCAAUCAAGCUAGAAUGAUAAUUAACUCUGUUUUACCUAUUAUGAUGAUCAAUAUCGAUGAUCUUGCUGAUGAUACAAUUGACAUGGUGACCUAAAGAGUGGCAAGUCUGUUAUUCAGUGAAUCUUAUCGUUGACAACAAAACUGGCAACCUAAAUAAUCGUCAUCAUGUUCACUCAUUCAUCAUCAAUCAUGGUGCGGAUGAUGAUGCCGACAUGACCUUACACAUUGUGUUUUAUGUGUGAAUGUGAACGCAAUACAACAACAAAAGUUGAUUCAAAAAAGAUGCUCAAAUGGUUCAUAUUCAUCUCAAUGUCAAAUGAUAAAAGCUGAUGAAAACAUGAAAAGCAUUUGACUUUGAAUGGCGUUAAAAUGAUUGACAAACAAAAUCAAGUUAAAAGAUUCCCUAAACUGGACCCAAUUGUGACCAACAAAGCUCCAACAAUUGGACUUGGAUCGUGUUUCUGGACAAUUUGUAAAAAUUAUUGCAAUCUUUUUGAAAUAUUUUCAUGCAAACUGAGCUUAAAUUACAAAAAUUAUUUCCCUUUUUCAAGAAACCUCUUGAAUUACAAUGGAAAGUUGAUCGAAUUGCAAUUUCAAGUUAAUUUGGUUUACACUUAUUCAGUCUAAAGGAUGAAAUGCCGUCAAAAUUGUCUAAAAAUUUCAUAACGAGUACAUUAUCAAAAUGAUGAUAAAAAAGAUUUGCCUGAAAGUGAUUAACAAAUGAUAAACUUGAUUUUGUUUCAUCUAGGAUUGAUGUAUUAAUAUCAAGAAUGAAAUUUUUAUCCAUCAUUAUCAUCAUCAUCAGUCGCAUCAUUAUUUUAAUGAUUAAGUUCAUGUCAAUCAUGUUAAUAUUUAUGACUCUUUUCAUGUCAAUAAGUCAAUGAUCUGAGCAAAUGUCACCUGAUUUAUGCAAAAAAAAUAAUAACAACAAAAACAAAUCAUCAAAUGUGAAUUAUCAACAUUCACAUUUGUUGUGUUUAAUGUUUAAAAAUAUAACCUGAAAAUCAGAAACAAUGAUGAUGAUGAUGAAGAAUGAUGUUAAUAUUUAAAAAAGUAAACAAUUUCAAGCUUUGCAAUGCUAUCAUUUGUAUUGCUAUUUGUUAACCGUUAAGCUGUGUAAAUCUUAAUAUACAAUGAUGAAUACAAAAGAACAAUUUGUAGCAAUUUAUUUGUUAAAUUAUGAUUUUUUAUUGAUGUCACAGAUUGUUCAAUGGUUAUAUGAACUUCAAGUCUCGGUUUUUGUUGUUUCCUAUUGAUGAGCUUAUUGUAAAAUCUUGCUGUAAGUUGCUGAUCAGCAUUAAUACAAAUCAAAUGCUUCUAUUUAUGACUAUCAUGAAUACAAACGUGAAUUGAGAUUUUUUGAGUUUCAAAUCUCAUUGAAUCCAGUUGAAUCUUUAGAUGUGCAGCAGUGACUUCAAUCUGUUGCUGCAAUUUAAAUGGCACCAAAGGAUACGUUGAAACAGUGAGCUUCAUCUAAUGGAUUAAAUCUUAAUUGGCGUUACAUAGAGCCAGUUUAACUGGGGAUUAACAAUCCUGGGUAAGAUUUGAAAUGAUGAGACAAAAUACGCCAAAGAUGAUGGCGAUGCUCUGGGUUGAGGAAGACAAAUAAAGGGGAAGAAUGUUAAUUAAAUUGAUGAACGACAAUUACAAAUAGAGUAACAAACGGAAGUAGGAAUUGAAAACAGAGUGUAAGAUAGAAAGAUAUAUAUGAUGAUAAUUUUGUUAUCAACUGGAAAAGUGGAUAAAGCAGUUCACUAGAAAGAGAGGGAGAAAGGAAGAAAAGGAAAGAGGGAUCAUCAUCAUCAUCAUCUUUUUCUUCUUCUUCUUCUUCUUCUUCUUCUUCUCAUUAUCUAAGGCUCUAGCUAAAAAAACUAGGAAGAGUGAGAACUAAUAUCCGGACUUGAUGUUGUUGUUGCUAUUGCCAUUGCUUUGGAUGUUGCUUGUAGUAUUUUGGUGAUACUUUCAUUUAUGUAUCAUUAUUUAUAUUUAGGCAGAUCAAGUUAUUAACAAUUGACAGAAAUGAUUACGUUAGCCAGUUUAAGGCUCCUGCUGCUCCUGAAAUUGUAGUCGAGACACCUUGAUUGUCACAAAAUCAACAGUUUUGUUUAUCACUCUUAUUAAUUAUCAUCAUUGAUAGAGGUAAUUCUUGAAACAACAACAACGUAAGAUUAACAAAUUGAGGAAAGAUAUCAUUUUUAACUUGAGUAUAAGAAGAUGGUGAAGAUAGAGGAUAAGAUGAAGAAGUAAUGGAAGAUAAUUUUUGUUGAUGGUUUAGGUUCAUUGAAUGGAUACGAUGAACGUUUUUUUUUUGUUAUAACGUCUAACUGGUAACUAAAGUUAACUUCCUAGGAACCAUUUUUAUCCAUCAGCUAUUCCCAGGGUUUCAAUGACCUUUUAACCCAUUCUUGCUGGGCUUCAACUUUUUUAGCUUUUGGCUCGAGAGGUGAAAGGGCAUGCACAGGCUUUACAAGGUUAUAUUCCUCUCCAAAUGUUUGUCUGCUUGGCAGUUUAAAUAAAAUCGCUUUUCUUUUAACCAGAAAUUUAUGCUUUCAAAAGCGACCAAUUUGUGUGGAGAAGGACCAAAAUGACCAGGCCUGGACGUAGGGUUAAACAUAUCAUUAAAAAAACAAAGUGUUCAAUGCAUGAUACCGAUUGUAUUCACUUUUUUGUUUGAACCAAACUUUCCUCCACAUUUGUUUCCUUGUUCACUUCGCCUUUGCUCAACUGGUUUGACCAAAUAAACGUUUUACCUUGGUUCACCUUCAAAUUUUUAUGAUUUGGUUUUGCCACAAAACCUGACCUUGCUGUGUAUAAACAUGCAGAACGUGUGAGAUAUGAAUAAACAAACGGUAAGGAUGAUGUUCAUGAUUAGCGCCAAGUUGAAUUGGCCUCAUGGGAAAGCGAGUGAAAAAAAAACAUCGAAUAAAAAAGUGUUGAAUAAUUGAAAAAAAAAGAUAUUACGCGGUAAAUCGGGUCAAGAACGGUUAUAAAUAUAAUGCUGGUUCAUUGGAUGUUCAAUUGAUAGGCAUUGGCUCAAAACUUUUGGCUCCAUUUUUAAAAUAACUUUUUUCAAGCUUUCAACACUCAACAAAAAUAUUGAUACAAUCAAAGCAUUUAUAAAGUGAAAAAAUGAUCAACACCAUUUAGCCCAUCAAUAAACAAAAAUAACAACAAAAUAUAACAAUUUAGCUUUUUUCAAAGUGUAACCAUGCUUUUUGAUAACACAUAUGAUCAACCUAAAGUGCCAUUGUUGACUACAUUAUGUAAGCAUUACAUUCGUCUAUAUUUUAUGGCAACCAACCAACCAGCCUAACCUUAUUACCUACUGUUUUCAUCAUUUAUUAACAUUAUGUAUUAUUUUUAUUCAUUACUCUACAGUUUAUUGUACAGCCAAGUCUCGAUUGGUGUUUUUGUUUCAUUGUAAUGUGCAUCAUUUCAAGUUUACUUCACUUUGCUGCCGCACUAUACACUGAAUAGUUAACCUUUUUUUGUUUGUGUGUCUAUUGAAUCUCUAUUUUUACCUAGAAGUUUUGUAUACUUUAUCUUCAAAUUAUCUCACUAUUUUUGUAUUUAUUUAUGUAUUUUAUUAUUAUUUGUUUGCAGGUUGUGUAUUUAUGGUGGUUAAUCAAGGAAACGUAUCAACAACUGUAACAACUGUAACAAAUAUUUCCAAAAUAACAAUAACCUUAACCUCAAGGUGUACGACAAUCCAAUUUGAUUGACUUAGUUUUCGGGGUUUUGUUUUUAUUUAAUCAUUAAUUGGUGUAUUCAAUCAACAAACAAUAAUACCGUAACUACAAGUACCAUAGUUAUGUAAUGUGUAGUUGAUUGCAAUUAAUCAACAAUAAUUUCAAGCUUUGUUGCUCUUAUUUGUUAGCGUGUCUACUGGUGUUACCGUUUUUUCAUAUCACAGGUCCAACUAUUGUUUCAUUUAUUUUCAAUUAAUUAGUUUAUUUAUUUUGUUAAUUUUUACAACAAUUGGUCAAUUAAAUUGAAUAGCGCUUCACGCGAGUUAUUCAUUAAUUUAUUUGUAACCAAUGAAAGAAAUUGAGUAACAUUGAAUUAUUGCUUUCACCUCUUUUUCAAAAGGUUUCAAUACAACACUUACAAGUGGCUUUUGAGUGUAAAGUCAUUCAAUUUAGAUCAAUAUUUUUAUAAUUAUUAAUUUCUAUUAAUGAUUGGACCAUUUUUUAAUAACACACUUGCAAUGAAUUGAUUGUUACCUGGAAUCAUGAAAUCAAACCUUAAAGGUUCAACUUGAAAUCCGUUGCUGCUUUCACUGAUUAUUGCUGAUAUUUUCCUGAUAUGCAUAUUUGAUCAAUUGAUAAUCCAAAAUGAAAUUGAUUCAAUCAAAGUUAUAUUCCAUUAGAUUAACUGUUAAAACAGUAACAUUUAAUGUUACUAAUUAUGACAAUAAUUAUAAACCAUCACCUUAAAUGGU